rnacentral:rRNA from 1 species
AACGAACGCUGGCGGCAUGCCUAACACAUGCAAGUCGAACGAGACCUUCGGGUCUAGUGGCGCACGGGUGCGUAACGCGUGGGAACCUGCCCUUAGGUUCGGAAUAACUCCCCGAAAGGGGUGCUAAUACCGGAUAAUGUCUUCGGACCAAAGAUUUAUCGCCUUUGGAUGGGCCCGCGUUGGAUUAGCUAGUUGGUAGGGUAAAAGCCUACCAAGGCUACGAUCCAUAGCUGGUCUGAGAGGAUGAUCAGCCACACUGGGACUGAGACACGGCCCAGACUCCUACGGGAGGCAGCAGUGGGGAAUAUUGGACAAUGGGCGAAAGCCUGAUCCAGCAAUGCCGCGUGAGUGAUGAAGGCCUUAGGGUUGUAAAGCUCUUUUACCCGGGAUGAUAAUGACGGUACCGGGAGAAUAAGCUCCGGCUAACUCCGUG